rnacentral:rRNA from 1 species
CCUACGGGUGGCAGCAGUGGGGAAUAUUGGGCAAUGGGCGCAAGCCUGACCCCGCAACGCCGCGUGAGCGAUGAAGGUCUUCGGAUUGUAAAGCUCUGUCGCAGGGGACGAAGUAUGACGGUACCCUGUAAGAAAGCCCCGGCAAACUACGUGCCAGCAGCCGCGGUAAUACGGAGGAUGCGAGCGUGAUCCGGAUUUAUUGGGUUUAAAGGGUGCGCAGGCGGAAGAUCAAGUCAGCGGUAAAAUUGAGAGGCUCAACCUCUUCGAGCCGGUGAAACUGGUUUUCUUGAGUGAGCGAGAAGUAUGCGGAAUGCGUGGGGUAGCGGUGAAAUGCA